rnacentral:rRNA from 1 species
ACGCACGCUGGCGGCGUGCUUCACCCCUGCAAGUCGCACGGAAAGGCCCUGCUUUUGUGGGGUGCUCGAGUGGCGAACGGGUGAGUAACACGUGAGUAACCUGCCCUUGACUUUGGGAUAACUUCAGGAAACUGGGGCUAAUACCGGAUAGGAGCUCCUGCUGCAUGGUGGGGGUUGGAAAGUUUCGGCGGUUGGGGAUGGACUCGCGGCUUAUCAGCUUGUUGGUGGGGUAGUGGCUUACCAAGGCUUUGACGGGUAGCCGGCCUGAGAGGGUGACCGGCCACAUUGGGACUGAGAUACGGCCCAGACUCCUACGGGAGGCAGCAGUGGGGAAAAUUGCACAAUGGGCGGAAGCCUGAUGCAGCAACGCCGCGUGCGGGAUGACGGCCUUCGGGUUGUAAACCGCUUUCGCCUGUGACGAAGCGUGAGUGACGGUAAUGGGUAAAGAAGCACCGGCUAACUACGUG